GGCGGGGAUUAGUGGCGAACGGGUGAGUAACACGUGGGCAAUCUGCCCUGCACUCUGGGACAAGCCCUGGAAACGGGGUCUAAUACCGGAUAUGACCGUCUGCCGCAUGGUGGAUGGUGUAAAGCUCCGGCGGUGCAGGAUGAGCCCGCGGCCUAUCAGCUUGUUGGUGAGGUAGUGGCUCACCAAGGCGACGACGGGUAGCCGGCCUGAGAGGGCGACCGGCCACACUGGGACUGAGACACGGCCCAGACUCCUACGGGAGGCAGCAGUGGGGAAUAUUGCACAAUGGGCGAAAGCCUGAUGCAGCGACGCCGCGUGAGGGAUGACGGCCUUCGGGUUGUAAACCUCUUUCAGCAGGGAAGAAGCGAAAGUGACGGUACCUGCAGAAGAAGCGCCGGCUAACUACGUGCCAGCAGCCGCGGUAAUACGUAGGGCGCAAGCGUUGUCCGGAAUUAUUGGGCGUAAAGAGCUCGUAGGCGGCUUGUCACGUCGGUUGUGAAAGCCCGGGGCUUAACCCCGGGUCUGCAGUCGAUACGGGCAGGCUAGAGUUCGGUAGGGGAG
rnacentral:rRNA from 1 species